GACCGUGUCUCCAGCUGGAUGAAAAGAACCUUUUUAUGAGCUGAUGAGAGAAUGGCAGCAGAUGGCAAGUCGCCCCUUUGCUUCAGUUGCUGUGGAGCUGGAGGCGUCCGGCAACAAAGAAGAGCUGAAACAGGUGCCUGUUGCUAAUUGGACUUUGAAGACUGGAGAUGACUGAUUGGUGGCCUGCCGGAGGUGAUGACGAAAAAAGAUGCUGACAUGGACUUCCUGUCAUCCAUCUUCUGCUCAUCCCAACCAGCCACACUGUUUAGUUUUUCUGUUAGACACCAUGUUAAACAAAUAGUUUAAACUAAAGAGUUUGUAGGCAUGAGC